GGUUUGCGACUUUCCACACAAAAGAUUAGCAAGAUCCUUACGCAAAGAUUGUCAAUGAUGGUUGAUUAUUACUAGAUCAUAUGCUAAUCUUUACAGUAUUUAUUAUUUUUAAUAUAUGUAGACUCAUUUAUUAUUAGUUACUAUUAGAAUACAAGGAAGUCGUUAAAAGUACACAUACAUUUUAAAUUCGCGCCUUUAUUUCAUGCACAUAUGACCACCAAGCAUGCGUAUAGGCCGCGAAGCAUGUACAUAUGACUGUAGAGCAUGCGCACAUGGCCGCGGAGAGUGCUCUUGUCGCUACAUUUCGUCGAUAUGACCACAGACUUCUAUAAUAUACUAGACUGCUAGGCUCGUUAUAUAUUCUCCAUUUAGUGUGUACCCGAAAAGUAUGUACAAAUAGGAGCUCAUAGGCGGCAGACUGAAUUACCGAUUGGAAUGUGGCUAAUAUUUUAUAGUCCUACGACUAUGGAUUACUAAAGGAGUGAGUGAGAUGUAUGAUACAAUAUAUACAUAUAUUAUGUGAUUAUGAGAGCGUUCUCCUUGGACGCUUAUGCGUACUUAUGCGUUAAACGUAUCAUUCUUUUGCUCUUGUAAUAUAAAAGAAAAAGAUAAAAUGACAAUAACCAAGCAACUAUAUGUGACAUUUAUUGGCAUAUAUAUAUGUACAUAUACAUCCCACUUGACGAACAAUGUACAUACAUAGUAGAUGACACAUUCCGAUCGGUUAUUCAGUCAUGUACAACAUGUACAUUAUAUACUGGUACGCCUAGGGAAUCAAGGUUAGCAGUCUAGUAUAUUAUAGAAGUCUGUGGAUAUGACAGAUUUUUUAUAACCUGAAUAUUCGACAAAUUUUACGAUUAUUAUUUCGCUUUCCGGGGCAGAGCGACGCUUUUUUUUGCCAGAUUCGUUCGUUUGAAGCAAAACUGUAUCGAAUAAGCACAACUACAUCGAUAUUUGAAUACCAGUGCCUAAACUAAAUAAUUACC